ensembl:lncRNA
GGUUUAGUGGAGGUUUGGUGGAGAUUUAGUGGAGGUUUAGUGGAGGUUUAGUGGAGGUUUAGUGGAGGUUUAGUGGAGAUUUAGUGGAGGUUUAGUGGAGGUUUAGUGGAGGUUUAGUGGAGAUUUAGUGGAGGUUUAGUGGAGGGUCAGUGGAGGUUUAGUGGAGGUUUAGUGGACGUUUAGUGGAGGUUGAAAGACAGUGGAGGUUUAGUGGAGGUUUAGUGGAGGUUUAGUGGAGAUUGAAAGACUGUGGAGGUUUAGUGGAGGUUUAGUGGAGGUUUAGUGGAGGUUUAGUGGAGAUUUAGUGGAGGUUUAGUGGAGGUUUAGUGGAGGUUUAGUGGAGGUUUAGUGGAGAUUGAAAGACAGUGGAGGUUUAGUGGAGGUUUAGUGGAGGUUUAGUGGAGGUUUAGUGGAGAUUUAGUGGAGGUUUAGUGGAGGUUUAGUGGAGAUUGAAAGACAGUGGAGGUUUAGUGGAGGUUUAGUGGAGGUUUAGUGGAGAUUUAGUGGAGGUUUAGUGGAGGUUUAGUGGAGGUUUAGUGUAGAUUUAGUGGAGGUUUAGUGGAG